rnacentral:lncRNA from 1 species
CACACACACCACAGCACGCACACACAAACACACACACACACCCCGACAGAGAGAGAGAAAGAAACAGAGUUCAUAUUUGAUUUUUAUUUACUGUAUAAUUCAGUAUGGAAUAUAUAAUAUUAUAAAAUAUGUAAUAAUAGGAUAAAAAAUAAGAUACAAAAAGCAAGGGGUGUGAGUUUGGAGAAUUAUACUUACUGAUAUGGUGAAAUAACUCUGACCAAACUAACCUUCCAGCAAUAAAAACAAAAUUGGAAAACUGGAUAAAAUAUACAUGGUAACAUGUUAGGUCAGCUUCGUCUGUCUUCAACCAACUAUAAAUAUUGUUCUACCCUUGUUAUUUAUUUAUUCUUUUCCAUUUUGUAUUGCUCGAUUUCUUUCUUAUACACCAUUUAUUUGAGUACAUUUUGAUAAUAUCUAUUCUUCAUUUUUGCUGUUUCUAGUGUGGUAUAUAUUUCUCAGAUAAAAGAUAUUUUCCCUUUUAUCUUUCCCUAAGCUCACACUACAUAUAUUGCAUUUAUCUUAUAUCUGCUUUAAAACCUAUUUAUGUCUUUUUAGAGCUAUUUAUUAAAAUGGUGAAGGAAAAGAUCAGUAAAUUAUGUCAAUAGGCAGUAUCAAUUUAGGUCUAUUUUCCAUGAAUAUUUUCUUAGCAACUGUGGUGUUACGAUAUAUAUUGGUUUUCAUCCACAGUUCCUGGCUUAUAAUGCCCCUAGCACUUGUUACAGUGUUUUGUUAUAAUAUUGGGUGUGUUAGGCCUCAGGAGCAGGCCUCUCACCUUCUCUUGGUCUUUUUUUAUUUUUACGUUCCUGCCUUUCUGGUUGUGGGUCUUAAAGCCAUCUCAGGAGAGAGUCCCACCCUAUACCCUGGAGGGAGGAAUGCUGAUAUCAUGAAACUUCCAUGAAAAUCCAGGAGGACAGGGUUCAAUGAGUUUCUAUGUAGUUGAACACAUGGAUGUUCCUGGAGGGUGGCUCACCCAGGGAUGGCUGGAAGCUCUGCUCCUUUCCCCCAUGCAUUAUUCUAAGUGUCUCUUCAUCUAUAUCCUUUGCAAUAUCCUUUAUAAUACACCAGGAAAUGUAAGUGUUUCCCUGAGUUCUGUGAGCCACUCCAACAAAUUAAUCAAACCCAAAGAGGGGGUCAUGAGAACCCAACUUGAAGCCAGUAGGUCAGAAGUUCAGAGGCCUGGACUUGUGGCUGUUAGGUUGAAAGAUGUAGGCAACAUGGAUCUAGAAAACAUGGAUUGCAUGGCCAUUUCACUUAGAGUUCAUGGGCUUGGAAACUCUAUUAACAUAAAUUUUACAACGUUAAAAUUCGUUCCCAUAUUAAUGAGGGAAAAACAAACAAUUACCCUGAGUAUCUGAAGCUCCAGAUCUCAUUUUCCAGUCAAAAUCUCUGAUAGGUAAACAAUCUGAAAAAGUAGCCACAACUCACUGAUAUGAUAACCCCAUUUGCUUAAGAGAAUGUAAUUGUUUUUAUGAUUUUUUUAUCCCAGGAAAACAUUGAAAAAAAGUUUAGAGAUGAUGAAGUAUAUGAAAACUAUAAUAUGUAUACUUAAGAGAUGUGAUAUUUAUUUAUAAUUGUAUUAGUAUUUAAAUAUAGAUUAGCAUUUUACAUUCCAAUUUUAAAUGUGUAACAGAAAGUUGCCAGUUGUGGUUUAACAUUGAAGAUAAUUUAAGAUUCAUGAUUUUGUGAGUUUAAUUUAUUAGCUCUAUAAGGGUUGUUUAAGUACUCUGAAGGUUUUGUUAGUCCGAUAAUUAAAAUGUUCACAAAGAUAAUUCAACAUAUUAAAUUUAUAAAUGUAGUUUAAAAUCUUUAAGGGAGUUUAAUUAACUAAGUUGUAAAUGGACCAAACAUUAAUCAAAGUCACUCUUAAAAAUAAUUUUUAAUGUACUAGAUUUAUAACUAGAACAAUAAGAUUUCUAA